GAAAGCGGAGACACUGCAUUUAUACUGUGUAAUACUGCAUAUGUCAGGCAACAAAAUUCCUUCCAGGGGACAGGUGGUGAUGGAGGCAGCAUAGCAUCAUAGGUGACUUCCCCAGUUCAGACAAAAUUAGUUCCACUGAGGCACAUCCAUGUCUGCUCUGAUUCACAGCCUUCCUACCUUUAAACUGAGAUUACAACAGAUUCCUCCUUAGGAAACGAGUUUCAGCAAGGUCACACAUAUAAAUCCCUUCACACAGUAUUCAGCGUGCACCAAGAGUUCAGUAAACAUCAGCUGUUAAUUUAGGUGUGACUGCGGACCACCAUGGGUGAGCCAAGAUGGUGAGGAACAACCAUUUCAGUCCUAUUGGAAACAAGUUCUUGUAUCCAACUGCCCUGAUUCCACGGACAGCUUUAGGUCUUUAAUAGUCCAGCGAGUUCUGCGGGCCCAAGGUUCACAUCAUCCUGUGCCCUCACUUUCUGUUCGGCCUCACAAGGUGGGAACUGUGGAAGAACGCUUUCUGGAGCGGCCGAGACUCUGAGUGCUAAAGCUAUUUUUAAUAUUUCAGGAUACCGUGUCGUUGCAUAAGGUAGAUAAAUGGUGUUCCGCUUGCUGUUGGCUCUCUUGCAUAAAACAUAUGUAAAGGUAUGGGUUCCUGUAAUAAUGCCAAAGCACCUUAGUCCUUGUGUGGGCAGGCAUCUUAUUGGGUUACACAGUUUUAAUCCCAGAGGAGUUGUCUCUUGACAUUAAACUGUCCAAACAGUAUUUAUAUCUGUGGCUGUCCUGCAAGAUCACUUCCCCCUGCAGAGCCGUUUAAAAGUAGUUAAUGACAGAAGAGACACGACUUGGCCUUUUAUGAAUGAUUGCAUAAGUUCGACCCGUGCUGUCAUGGUUUAUGGAGGAAGGCAGUUUGUCCAUACCCGGCGUCCACCACAGCAGUGUGGAUGCAGCCCAGGCUCUUGAGAAUUCCGGACCAGCACAUUAGGUCUUGCUGGUUGAAACCCAUUCUAUAUCCCAGGCAGGCCUUAACCAUGAAGCCACUGAGCAGCUGAUUUCUAUAUCCCAGGCAGGCCUUAACCAUGAGGCCACUGAGGAGCUGAUUUCACAUCUGUACCAGGAACUUACCACAGUUUGCUAAUUUUUGAAGUAUUUAAAAAUUUAUAUUUUUUCAGUUUAUUUACUGAAAUAAA